rnacentral:rRNA from 1 species
GGGUCCUACGGGACGCAGCAGUGAGGAAUAUUGGUCAAUGGGCUUACGCCUGAACCAGCCAAGUCGCGUGAGGGAAGACUGCCCUAUGGGUUGUAAACCUCUUUUGUCAGGGAGCAAUUGAGUCCACGUGUGGGCUUAGCGAGAGUACCUGAAGAAAAAGCAUCGGCUAACUCCGUGCCAGCAGCCGCGGUAAUACGGAGGAUGCGAGCGUUAUCCGGAUUUAUUGGGUUUAAAGGGUGCGUAGGCGGAAUAUCAAGUCAGCGGUAAAAAUUCGGGGCUCAACCCCGUCGUGCCGUUGAAACUGA